GGGCGGAUAGUUCAGCUGGUUAGAACGCUUGAUUUACAUUCAAGAGGUCACAGGUUCGACUCCUGUUCCGCCCACCA
rnacentral:tRNA from 1 species